rnacentral:lncRNA from 1 species
CAUCGACAAAAACAAACUCGUUCUUAUUCCUCUUCGUAGGAGGGUCUCGAAGAAGAGGCCUAUGACCAGUAGAAGAUGGUCGACUCGAACAAGAGAUCAUUGUCUCAGAAUAAGAGGCAGCAGAAAAAGAAAAGUAAUGAAAAAACAGACUAGCAGUGGGUUUGAUAUGCAAGUCCCGAAGAACAUUCAGAAAACCAUGGGCGUAGAAGAAGAAAGCAAGACCCGAUUGGGAUAUGCACACGCCAGCAAAUAUCAGAAUUUCACUAAUAAAA